ACCCCUAGGAAUGGGCAAAGAGAUACCUUGUUCAUGGUGUUCUUAUAUCAGUCCAGGGCAGAGCAGACAGCUGUCCUUUGUUCAUCAUAGCUCGAUGACUGGCUUGCUGGCCAAAGUUGUCUUAUGCCUAGGACUCAUAA